rnacentral:rRNA from 1 species
AUCGAACGCUAGCGGGAUGCUUUACACAUGCAAGUCGAACGAGUGGCGGACGGGUGAGUAAUAGAUCGGAACGUGCCUAGUAGAGGGGGAUGACUAGGCUAACGCGUGGCUAAUACCGCAAAAGAUUGGAGCGGCCGACACCGGAUUAGCUAGUUGGUGGGGUAAAGGCUCAUCAAGGCAACGAUCCGUAGCGGGUUUGAGAGGACGACCAGCCACACUGGGACUGAGACACGGCCCAGACUCCUACGGGAGGCAGCAGUGGGGAAUUUUGGACAAUGGGGGAAACCCUGAUCCAGCCAUCCCGCGUGUAUGAGAAGGCCUUCGGGUUGUAAAGUACUUUUGGCAGAGAAGCGGUAUCUGAAGAAUAAGCACCGGCUAACUACGUGCCAGCAGCCGCGGUAAUUC